rnacentral:rRNA from 1 species
UACCAGCACCCCGAGUGGUCGGGACGAUUAUUGGGCCUAAAGCAUCCGUAGCCGGUUUUACAAGUCCUCCGUUAAAUCCAGCUGCUUAGCAGAUGGGCUGCGGAGGAUACUAUAAGACUAGGAGGCAGGAGAGGCAAGCGGUACUCAGUGGGUAGGGGUAAAAUCCGUUGAUCCAUUGAAGACCACCAGUGGCGAAGGCGGCUUGCCAGAACGCGCUCGACGGUGAGGGAUGAAAGCUGGGGGAGCAAACCGG